rnacentral:ncRNA from 1 species
AAUCCGUUUUAUUUGCGCCUAAUAACAAGUUUGGAAUUCACUUGUGGAAAUAAAGAGAAGACGACUUUUAAUCACCCGGGUAUUGUAAGCAGUAGAGUAGCCUUGUUGUUACGAUCUGGUGAGAUUAAGCCUUGGGUUUUUUGAUUUUU